CAGGGAGACAAAACUGAUCAUGAUGUCUGAGCUAUUUAUUCUUAGGCCUUGAUCCUGUCACCUUAGGUCGAUCGGUACCUCAGAUUUAUAGCCAAAAUUAAUUUGAGAAAUCAGAUUAAUUGGUAAUUAAUUUCAGUUCCUAAACUUGUCUAGGUCACACCCAACAAGGGUACUCCUGGGCCAUUAGCUCAGGUGGUUAGAGCGCACCCCUGAUAAGGGUGAGGUCCCUGGUUCAAGUCCAGGAUGGCCCAUUCGGUGUUGGGGGUAUAGCUCAGUUGGUAGAGCGCCUGCUUUGCAAGCAGGAUGUCAGCGGUUCGAGUCCGCUUACCUCCACUGAUUAACUACCUGAUAUUGAAUCCAAAGGAGAUUAUUUUUGUUGGAAGAGUGUGAUUUAGAUGUUGUUCAACUGAUAGAACCUAGCUUCUUAUCAUUCCGGUCUAGAAAUUAGAUUAGGUUGAUAUGACGCUGGGCUCACUGCAAUCCUAUGGAUUCAGCGAUCUCAGUAGAACCUUGACAACUGCAUAGGUGAGUCUGGAAAGAAUAAAGCAUCUCAUGGAUGAAUUUAUUUCACAAUGAAAACCAUUUUUUGUUGUGAAAUAGGUUAAAUUCUUGAGCAAGAGCCGAGACUCUUUAUCGUUCUUUUGAUGCUGUCGAGGCAUUAAAAGUUUGAUUAUUGAUUUAAUUAAAUCAAUAAGAAAGUGCUAACAACACAUAGCGAUUUAGAGGUUAAU
rnacentral:tRNA from 1 species